AGUGUUUGAAUUACGAGAAAAGUAAUAAAAUAAUGUGAUAAUAAUAAUACCGAUGGUCACAAUGAGACCUGUGUAUGAGCUGUAUGGAAAUCUGUCAAAGCUAACCAGGCUUGCUUUUAAUUGACAUUGUCAGGGAGAUAUUAUAUUGAUAAUAUGUUUAUUGUGAUUGUUGUUUUCAGUGAGGUAGGACGGCACUAUGUAUAACUUAGAUAUUUAUCACAACCACACUCAUAAAUGUAUAACAGUCUAUGUGUCUGCUCUUUAGCCACAGUGCUCUAGGUGGCACCUUUGUCACCAUUUUUUUGUGUUCAAAAUGUCCACAAGUAUUUCUGUGCUUGUCCAAAAAUUGUUAAAGAGGCAUGCAAAGAAAGAAAG